ACUGCUCAGUAACACGUGGACAACCUGCCCUUAGGUCGGGUAUAAACCCGGGAAACUGGGUAUAAUCCCCGAUAGGUCUCGGCUGCUGGAAUGCAUCGAGAUUUAAAGCUCCGGCGCCUAAGGAUGGGUCUGCGGCCUAUCAGGUAGUAGUGGGUGUAGCGUACCUACUAGCCUACGACGGGUACGGGUUGUGAGAGCAAGAGCCCGGAGAUGGAUUCUGAGACACGAAUCCAGGCCCUACGGGGUGCAGCAGGCGCGAAAACUUUACAAUGCUGGCAACAGCGAUAAGGGAACCUCGAGUGCCAGGUUACAAAUCUGGCUGUCGAGAUGCCUAAAAAGCAUUUCAUAGCAAGGGCCGGGCAAGACCGGUGCCAGCCGCCGCGGUAACACCGGCGGCUCGAGUGGUAACCGUUAUUAUUGGGUCUAAAGGGUCUGUAGCCGGCCGGAUAAGUCUCUUGGGAAAUCUGGCAGCUUAACUGUCAGGCUUUCAGGAGAUACUGUUCGGCUCGAGGCCGGGAGAGGUGAGAGGUACUUCAGGGGUAGGGGUGAAAUCUUGUAAUCCUUGAAGGACCACCAGUGGCGAAGGCGUCUCACCAGAACGGACCUGACGGCAAGGGACGAAAGCUAGGGGCACGAACCGGAUUAGAUACCCGGGUAGUCCUAGCCGUAAACGAUACUCGCUAGGUGUCGGCCACGGUGCGACCGUUGUCGGUGCCGUAGGGAAGCCGUGAAGCGAGCCACCUGGGAAGUACGGCCGCAAGGCUGAAACUUAAAGGAAUUGGCGGGGGAGCACCACAACGGGUGGAGCUUGCGGUUUAAUUGGAGUCAACGCCGGA
rnacentral:rRNA from 1 species